rnacentral:lncRNA from 1 species
UAUUAAAUGAGAUUAUAAGUUUGCUUUAAUCACACUUCCUUCCCCUCACCUUCUCCUUCUUACAGGGUUUCAGAAGGAUGACACGUUUGCUUUAUUUCUAUUCAAAGGGUUAAAGUUCUUUCCUUUCCUGGAGUCAGAAGUCCAGAAAACAACAAAUGAAUGACUCUUUCUAUGAGGAGUUAAAUGCUUGCAGAUCACAGAGUUCAAAGGAUGUGUCACGUAAAUGCUUCGGGGACAACCUACAUUCCUCAUCAGCAUGUAUGAAGGACUGGAUCAUCUUUAAUGAACAGAACCUCCCAAGGUUCUCUGCAACUGGAAAGAGGAAAGGAAGAAUAAACUGCACUUCCUGAUUUUGCAGAGAGGUCACCGAGACACCAAGGGCCUAUCACCAACAGUAUUACUGCAUAACAUGGGAGGAACAGAGCUAGAUCCAGAACAGCAUAAAGAUAUAACCAGCACUGUGUUAUAUUAUUAGCAGUAAAUA